GAUGAACGCUGGCGGCGUGCCUAAUACAUGCAAGUCGAGCGAACAGACGAGGAGCUUGCUCCUCUGACGUUAGCGGCGGACGGGUGAGUACCACGUGGAUAACCUACCUAUAAGACUGGGAUAACUUCGGGAAACCGGAGCUAAUACCGGAUAAUAUAUUGAACCGCAUGGUUCAAUAGUGAAAGACGGUUUUGCUGUCACUUAUAGAUGGAUCCGCGCCGCAUUAGCUAGUUGGUAAGGUAACGGCCUACCAAGGCGACGAUGCGUAGCCGACCUGAGAGGGUGAUCGGCCACACUGGAACUGAGACACGGUCCAGACUCCUACGGGAGGCAGCAGUAGGGAAUCUUCCGCAAUGGGCGAAAGCCUGACGGAGCAACGCCGCGUGAGUGAUGAAGGUCUUCGGAUCGUAAAACUCUGUUAUUAGGGAAGAACAAAUGUGUAAGUAACUAUGCACGUCUUGACGGUACCUAAUCAGAAAGCCACGGCUAACUACGUG
rnacentral:rRNA from 1 species